rnacentral:lncRNA from 1 species
AAGGAAGUGCAAGAAAGCAGAACAGGAACCACUCCCUGCGAUGGACAGUUCAGCUGACGGUAAGAAAGUUUGUAUUAUGUUCAUGUGGUUUUUUUCCAAGUAUUAACAGCGUAGUGCUACUGACUGUCCUCGAUUCGUACAGCUCGAGUUAAAGAAGUGAGACUUGAUAUAGACGGGGAGAAGAAGCCAUCGAAAAGCAA